rnacentral:tRNA from 1 species
GAGGCCUUAGCUUAAUUAAAGUGUUUGAGUUGCAUUCAGGAGAUGUGAGAUAAAGUCUUGCAGGUCUUA